rnacentral:rRNA from 1 species
CCGACUGUUUAACAAAAACAUAGCCUAGGGAAAAUUAUCCUAGGUGAAACCUGCCCGGUGACUAGAUUUUAACGGCCGCGGUACUUUGACCGUGCUAAGGUAGCGUAAUCAGUUGACUUUUAAAUGAAGUCUUGUAUGAAUGGAUUUAUGGGAUUAAGCUGUCUCUUUUGUAUUCUAUUGAAAUUACUAAUUAGGUGAAAAGGCCUAUAAGUGAAAAAAGACGAGAAGACCCUUAGAGUUUUAAUAAUAGGUUUUUGUUGGGGCGACAAGAAGACAUAUAUAACUCUUCUAUUAGAAAGAUACUUGCCGGUUCUUUUAAGUGUGGAUAAACUACCUUAGGGAUANCAGCAUAAUCCAGUUUGGGUUNGUGACCUCGCAUGUUGGACUAGGAAANUUGUGCCCAANCAGGGNGUAUNNGUAGNUUAUGCNGACGNUUAACCAAAA